CGGGAAUGGAGUCUAUAUAGAGUCUUCAGUUCAUCGGCUUCUCCUGUAAUCCAUUAUUGUUGCAGUUUGGUUGAGGCGCUCUCGCCGACUUCGAGUCUCUGAAUUUCCGGCGAUCAAUCUGUUCAAUUUCAAAUAAGUCAGGUUGAUCGGGGAAUUCAGGCUACCUCAUGCUAUUAAGGGAAGAGCACGAGGCUCAGGUGAGAAACGCGCGGUCGCUGCUGGCUUUCUCGAGGAGCCGCCCGAUAAAGCUAGGUUCAUGGAGGUUGGAUAGGAGGAGCAUCGGUGGCGUUCGGAAUGGAGAGGGGGAUGGCGAUUGUCGGGUCUGUGCUCGGGCCGGGGACUUUUUGCUGAGGUUUGCUGGAGGGGAGGGCGGUGAGUUCGUGGGACAGAUCGGAGGUUUUAGCCACGAGAGUGAGCACGACCUGGCGGUGAUGGUUAGC